rnacentral:rRNA from 1 species
GCAAGUCGAACGAUGAACCACUUCGGUGGGGAUUAGUGGCGAACGGGUGAGUAACACGUGGGCAAUCUGCCCUGCACUCUGGGACAAGCCCUGGAAACGGGGUCUAAUACCGGAUACUGAUCCUCGUAGGCAUCUGCGAGGUUCGAAAGCUCCGGCGGUGCAGGAUGAGCCCGCGGCCUAUCAGCUUGUUGGUGAGGUAAUGGCUCACCAAGGCGACGACGGGUAGCCGGCCUGAGAGGGCGACCGGCCACACUGGGACUGAGACACGGCCCAGACUCCUACGGGAGGCAGCAGUGGGGAAUAUUGCACAAUGGGCGAAAGCCUGAUGCAGCGACGCCGCGUGAGGGAUGACGGCCUUCGGGUUGUAAACCUCUUUCAGCAGGGAAGAAGCGAAAGUGACGGUACCUGCAGAAGAAGCGCCGGCUAACUACGUGCCAGCAGCCGCGGUAAUACGUAGGGCGCAAGCGUUGUCCGGAAUUAUUGGGCGUAAAGAGCUCGUAGGCGGCUUGUCACGUCGGUUGUGAAAGCCCGGGGCUUAACCCCGGGUCUGCAGUCGAUACGGGCAGGCUAGAGUUCGGUAGGGGAGAUCGGAAUUCCUGGUGUAGCGGUG